AUUAAUGAACUUAACAGCUACCAAUUUUAGCUUCAUUUCUUCACUGUAGUUAUGGAAAUUGAAGAUGAAUUCUGCCUUUUAUUCCCACUCAAAGUAAGUCUCAACAUCAUUUCUUCCCUUAAAUGGUGGUAUUUAUAUCUUGAUGGACUUGAUGUCUCAUAUUCUCUCUAGCAGUCUCUUCUAUCACCCUCAUCAUUGUCACCACAGAAUUCAGAGUCUUCCUAAAUAGGUUGACAUCUAGUAAGGAGUGGACUAUUAUUCUUUCUUAGUCUUCCCUCCAUCCUAGUUUCUAGGUCUUUAAUGGCUAGACUGAGCUUGAUAAACAUGUGCUUCAUGCACUUUUUUAGAUUGGCUGAGGUAUUAUUCUCAUUUGGUUGAGAUAUGGUGAUAGCUGCAAGAAAAAAGUGUGG
rnacentral:lncRNA from 1 species